AUUGCUUCGAGGACUACCUGAGAGCACGUAUUUGUGAAGACAGCUGCUGAGCCUAUAAUAGCUGCUCACAAAUGUUUGCAGAACCUGAAGUCCCAGCUCACCGAGUCUUUCCCAACACUUCUCUUCCAUCGCAAUCCUGCUCAGGCAUUGAAGCGCUUAAGCAAUUCUAGAAACAGGACAUUUGGAGGAAGAUACUACAUUUUCUUUUCAACUUCUGAGAAAACAGAGUCUCCACGAGGUUCAACAGCUUCUCAAGCUCUCCUAGCUGGUGGUCUGGUCUGCAGAGUGAGAUUUCUCUCCCUGUGCACUGUGGCAAUGCAUUCACCACAAACCCCUCAACAGAGGCUGACAUUCUUAUAAGAAGUUAAAAACGAAAUGCAAUUCUAAUCCUUAGGAGAGUCAUCUUUUUGUCUGUGUUUUUCCUUGCUUGUCUCUAGGUCUCUGCCAAUUUAGAGUCAGAGACAAU
rnacentral:lncRNA from 1 species